GUUCAGCUUCUGGUUCUGCUGCUGGUGCAUCAGCAGACUCGGUUGUCUCUUUCGCCACCUCAGGCUCCUCCUUUGGAGACUCCUCCUUAGUCUCCUCCACAACAGCAGGCUCCUCAGGUGUUUCCUUAGGAGUUUCUUCUUCAGUUUUUUCUACCGCUGCUGGCUCUUCUGUGACGACAACCCCCUUAGUCUGAUCUUCUACCACCUCUGUAGUCUCAACUGCUUCAGUUGGAGUCUCAUCAUUCUUUUGUGCCUCAGGUUCUUCAGUUGUCUCUUCUUCCUUUGGCUUUUCAUCAGCUACUACUUGCUCUGCUGUUGGUGCUUCUACAGUGACUGCAGCCUCUUCUUUUACGGUCUCUGGUGCCUUCGGUUCUUCUAUUUUUUCCUCUGCUGGAAGGGCAGUCUGUGCUGAUACUACCUGAAAAUAUUUAUACCUCAUGCAUCAAGAAAAUUUAUAGUCGUAAAAUGCUAGCCCUAAUAAAAUAUGUUAAUUAAUAAAUGUUUCUUGUUUUAUAUAUAUUUAGAAUUGUUGAACCAAGGAGAUCAGGAGGAGAUCUUCAGUUAGGCUGACAGACCUACAAUAUCAUAUCUCCCCACCAAUGAUUUAUUAAUAAACCCAUCAAAUGCUCUUCAAUAUAUGUCAAACCAUUUUUCUUAUCAGCAAAAGAUUCACAAGACUAAGAGAUAAUACUAGAAAUCAUACAUACAAACAUUUUCACCUACAUGGCAGCACCAAGAAUUCAAGAUCACGAUCAUUAUGAACAUGUUUAUGACUUUCUUUCUUUCUUUCUUUCUUUUUUUUUUUUUUUUUUUAUAGCAGAAUACUCAUAUCUCGAUGAUGUUAUCUGCAUAUGUAUUAUAUAGUUAACAUCAUCAAGAUCAAGAUAAAUGUAUAUAUACAUAAAUGGAUGUUUUGCUAUGUAUGCUAGCUAUACGUUAAACCAAGAACCUUAUGAAAAUCUUAACAAGAAAUUGAUGGAUUACCUCAACAGUUGCCAUUGGAGCUCAAGAAAAUUGUAAAAGAAGGCUAAAGAUGAAUAAACUGAGAAGCGAAGAAGGGAGUAACUAAAGGAAAUAGAGUAUGAGAAAGAGAUAGGCUUUGAGUAUUUGAUGCAGAGAUGAUGAAUGAGAGUGGCUUAUAUAGAAAGAGAUGUAGGGGCCAGAACUUUGAAGAGAGUGGGGAGCAUUACUUGAGGAAUCUUGAGAUUUGACACCUCAUCUCACUGAAUUCAAAGAGAAUUGCCAAAUGUUAGUAAUAAUGUUAAGAGAAAAUUACAAAACAGCAUGCAUUUCUUUGGCAUUUUUUCCACUUUAAAUACGUUAUAUUUUGCUUAAUGAAAUUUAUAUACAUAAUUUUACUCAGUAAAAUUAAACAUAUUAAGUUGAUUUUUAUUAACAUAAUAUAUUUAUUUCUUUAUUAUUAUUAAAUAUUUCACUAUUAAAGUGGCAUUGAUGCGGUAUACUUUUUUUCUUGUGCAGUAUCAAUCAAUACACUAAUUUAACAAUCUCAUAGUAAUAUAUACUAUUUUUACUAUUACAGUAAACUACAGUGAUUUAGUAAAAAAGAAAUAACAUACAAAAGAUUAAAAUUAAUCAAACCAUAAACAUGUUCUCCUUUUCUUUUUACUUUCCCCUAAUGUUAAACAAGAUGCUGUACAUCACUAUUAUUAUUAUUUUUUCUUUUUCAUUUGAACAAUGAUGACUCUUUGGCUUAGUGUUUAUGCUGACCACUCAAUUGAUACACAUACAUAUAUAAAUUGAAAAUAAUCACUUCUUAAUAUUAAUCAAAUCAAUAAAAAGAAAUUUACAAAAGAAAAAAGAAAAAUGGGUGUAAAGAUUUUGGAGUAACCUAGUAUUAGUUGUUGUAAAUACUAAUUUCCAUUCUCCUUCUGAUUACCAGAGUUCAAUUAUUAACUCCCCAGACAAAAGAAAAGAAGAUUAAAAGUUACUUAAUUGUUGUAGCAGGCAUUUGAUUGGGUAGAGAGUAAUGAUAAUGGAGGCCAUUUUCAGCUAAGCCAUUAUCUUGGUUUUGGUUUUGUGUGCAUAUGUGCUUUGUGCAGUCGGGUCAUUCAGUUGAUCUUUGAUUAAUUGUUUUAAGGCACCUGUCAACUUCUCAUUCUUUUGUUUCAAUUUGAUUUUAAUCUAUCAAAAUUCCUUUUUUACUGUGCCCANNNUAUUUCUUUUUCACAUUUUAUUGUUUUUGUGUUCUCUGACGAUUCCGAUCUUUACUUAUGCAUAUAAAACAACUUAAUUUCUAAAUAUUAAUGAUUACUAAAAGUAAAAAUGAAAUUUGACGAGAUAACCAUAAGAGAGAAGGCAUUCUGUUCUACCUGAAAUUAUUGAAAUAUCUCAUUUUAUUAAGAAAAACAAAACAAAAUAUCUCUCGUUCCAUUUCGGCUAAAAUCUCGCCAUUUCGGACUAGAACAAUCGAGAUUAGAUCGAAAUAGCCAUUUCAGCCGAAACUAAUGAGAUAGGGCGAAAUGAGAUAACUUUAUUCAAAAAUUAUAUUAUUGAAUUGAAUUAAAUAGAUCAAUAACACUUAACUCCAACUCAAUAAAAUCUAUUUUUCUCUCUAUUAAUAAAAAUGAAUUAAAUCUAAAAUUUUGUAUAAUAAUCUCUUUAGUUUUGUCCAUCACUUUAUCUUGUGCUCUAUAGUUUAACUAUAUAUUCUUUUUACUAAUUUAUUAAAAUAUUUCUAUGAUUUAAUCUUAUAUUAUAUAGUAAUAACAACUCAAGUUUUAUGUAAAAUUAUAAAUUUCAUUCCAACCGUCAUUUUGGAUUUUAUCAUUGGGAUGAAUAUUUCGGUACCGAAAUAUUUCGAACUGUUCCGAAUUAUAUAUAUAAACUAUUAAAAUAAAACACUAUAAAAUUAUUAUCCAUAAUCUAAUUAAAUAGCAUCUUAGAAAACAACAAGCAAAUAUAAACUCAAUUUUUCAUUCUAAUGAUAAAAUUCAAAAUGACGGUCGGAAUGAAAUUUAUAAUUUUACACAGAAAUCCUAUUCUUAUUAGCAGUGAGAUCUACUAAGAUAGAAUUCUCAUAAAUGAUCACUAAUCCUCCCAAAACUGCAAUCUAUACUGGAAAUUGAAAUGAACAAUGACAUUUUACCUAUGAGCAAAGAGAGUAAAAGCACAAAAGAUGGCCAAAAUAAACAAAGCAAUCCAUGUUAGGCAGCAGAGGGGAGAACAAUCACAAAGUAGCAGCAGUAGUAAGAGAGGAAUUUGGGUAAGGGACCCACAUCACCAAUGUGUAUGAUUUACUUGUAGGAAACGAAUAGGAUUCAGACGUGGCACUUUACAAUGGUCCACGCCCUCAUGCCGCCUCCUAUAAGGAGUCACCUUUAAUUUAAUAAUCAAAAGAUAGCUCCACGGAUAUUGACAUUAGUGAAUUCCUUACUCAUUUGCUGAGCUGGAAGACUGUCAUCUCUCUUGUUCCUUAGCCAUUGUCAUGUGUCAUGCUUGUCUAGUUUAAUAGUUCAAUUUUCUUUUUGAUUAUUUUUUUAAUAUUAGUGCAAAAAGAGAUUAGAAAUUACCCUAAGUUGUCAAGAAUUCACUUGAUAGGAGAGUGAGUAAAAUAAUUUUAAAAAAUCAUAUAGAUAAAAUUAAAAUAAAAAAAUAUAAAAAUUAAUUACGUGGUUAAUUUUUUAACGUAAAAAGUACUGUAAUUUUUUUGUAAAACUUUAAUACCAUACAAUUUAUAUUUAAAUGUAUUAAUAUUAUUUAUAAUUCUAGAAAUUGAAUUUCAAAGGUCGCUAUAAAAUCGGUCUUAUCAAAUAGAUAAUAAAGUAUGAAGUUCUUUUUCUCUUUUCUUUUUAAAUUCUAUUAUAAUUAACAUGACUAGUAUUAGAUGAAAACUAAAUUGGUAAAAAGUGGAAUGAUAGUGGAAUCAGAAAUUAUUAACAUUUUAAUUCUUAUGAUAUUGAAAUAUUAAAAAAACACUACAAAUCCAUGAUCUUAUAAAAAUUCAGUAAACUUUAAAUAAACUUAUUCAUUAAGUGUCAACAUUCUUUUUUUUUUUUAAUUUCUUUUAUCAAAAAGAAAUAGAAUCAAUAAAUAUAGGAUUAAGAUAGUAUUAUAGUGUGAAGGAUAUUUCUGAACAUAAGAGUGUGUUUGUCGACUCUAAAACAUAGCAUAUGGCAUGUCAUGUGUGUCAUGAAAAGCAUUAUGGGCAACGUUAGAAUAAAAUUCAUUAUUAAAUUUCUAACAUUUUCAGUUUUAUUUUAUUAAAUUCUUAAACUUUAUUUUAUUUUAUUGAAAUUUUAUAUACAUAUUUUUCAAGUUAUUUUCUCAGGUGUUAUCUUUUUAUCUUUUGAUAUCAUUAAAAACCAUUGAACUCUUAAAUAAAAUAAAUCUAAAAAAUUUUCUUAAAAAAAAAACAAAGAAAAAUUGAAAAGAUUCAAUAAGAUAAUACAAAAAAUAUAUAAAAGUUUAAUAAUGGUGAGAAACAACUUGACAUUAACAACUAAAGACAAUCAUUUUAGGAGAAUUUUGAGGCAAUAAAAAAUCUUAUAGAUCCCAAAGAUCAACAUGCUACUGCAUAUACACAUAUAUGCUAGUAAUUGAAAACUUCGUACGGUAGCAGGCACCUGCAGUUGACACCUCGAGAUGCGUUUUUGCUUCUUUGCAUGAAUUUGUACUCUUCUUUUCUUUUUUUCUUUACUGUUUGCAAAACCCCGCAUCAUCGUUUUCCAUUUGAUUUCUUCCCUCCGUGCCGUUUCAGUCAUAAAUUUUGCUCGUUACUAUCGGUUUUUACUCUGUAAAGUGGAAUGGCCUUUAGCCCUUUUUCCAGGGUUUAGGUACAGCUUGGGCGGUGGCCUGGCCCACCUGAGUGGACCCCGGUUAUAGUUCCGGACAGCUCUUUGUUCCAAUGGGAUAAUGCCACAUGUAAUCGGAUCACCGACCACGUGGGACGAUGUUGUUUCCAUGUCAUUAUUGGAUGUGAUUGGGUCCUUUUGCUUGAUCAAAAAUAUGUGGGUGUGUGGGGUCCUGAGAUUUUUCUUUUAUAUUAUGGAGGGAGGGAUCGGAAAUAUUGAUGGAUGAGUGGAAUUUAGAGGCAAAAACCAAUUUUGAUGAGAAAAAGGGUCGUAGCUUUUGGAAGUUAAUGGUUCAUUUUGUUCAAAUCCAUUGAUGAUUGUUAGCAACUAUAUAUACUGAUGACGCAAUGGUCUAGCUGGCUAGUUGGUGAAGUCAUUUCCAUCUGCUUGUUUCAUCUCAUUUUAAUUCUUUCUUUUCAGAUCGCAUCUAACCAAGUGUGAUGUCUAAAUAUAAGACUCUAGUGCAUUCAUGUUGCAUAGAUUGAGAAAUUUGCGUAGCAAAUUAACAUCCUAUUUCAAAAUUCUUUUAGUGUGUAACUUUGUAAAUUAUUAAAAAUUAAUUCUUCUGUGACUAUUAUUAUUAUUUUAAUUAUAAAAUUAAAUUGAUAUAUAUAAUUUAAUAAAUUUUUAAUAUUUAAUAUUAAUUUAUAAUAUUUUCAGAAAAUAGUAAAAUAACUAUUUUUAAAUAUUUUUAUUUUUUAAAAAUUUUAAAAUUUUACUAGUGUAAUAAUAUAAAAAUUAUUUUAAAAAUAUUAAUUAAUUAUUUUAGUAUUAUAUAACUUAAUAAUAUAAUUGAUAUAACUUAAUAAUAUAAUUGAUAUUACUAUUUUUAAAAUUAAAAAUUUAUUAUAUAAUUAUAAAAUCAAUUUAUUAUUGAAAAUAUUACUUCAGAUAUUAUUUUCUAAAAUUAAAAUUAUUAUCUAAUUAGAAAAUUAAUUUAUUAAUUAAUAUAAUACUAAAAUAUAAUUAAUGUACUAUUUUUUAAGAUAGAAUGAGUAUCUGAUUAGAAAACUAUUUAUUAGUUAAUAUAAUAUUUAAAUUUAAAAAAAAUUAUUUUUUAAGAUUAAAGUAAGUACUUAAUUAGAAAUGUAACUUACUAAUUAAUAAAUUAAUACAAAAAACUAUAAAAUUACAUAUAAAUUUGAAUCCUACGUAUCAAAAAUAGUGGACAUAUCAAAGUAAAAUUCUUACAUUUAAAAAAUUAAGCACACGUGUCAACAAAUUAGACUCAGCGGCAAAAAUUAGGACUAUACUUUAAAACAGAAUAGUGAAGAAAUUUAUCAUUCAAAUUUGUCAUUGCUAUAAAGNNNNNNNNNNNNNNNNNNNNNNNNNNNNNNNNNNNNNNNNNNNNNNNNNNNNNNNNNNNNNNNNNNNNNNNNNNNNNNNNNNNNNNNNNNAUAAAUUUUAUAUAUUAGUUUUAGUUUCAAUUUGGCUCCUUCAUUGAUGAUUUGUAUCCCAUCGGUCAAAGAUAUUCUUAGUAACACAACUUUCAUUUCUUAAAAUGAUCAACUUAAACUAAUUUUGUGAAAUUUUAUAAAUUUAUCCUAUUUUAUUAAGGAUUAUUUAUUCUUUUUUGACUCAGUAAUAUUUUAACUUCAAACUAAAUUAGUUCAUGGAAAUACCCUCUUUUUUUAUUUAUAAAAAUAUUUUUCUCAAUUUAAACACUUACUGAUCUGCACACCAAAAAAUAAAUCAAAACUCUUUAAAAGAAAAAAUAUGACAUGACAAUGAGAUAAUCAUUCUCUAAAAUAUAACGAAUACAAAAGAUAUAUUCUUUUUACAUUUUUUUAUUUUUUUACUUAUUUUUUUAAUAGUUUAAAAGUUAUAGCCUAUCAAUAUAAUUACAUUUUUUUAGUUAAUUGAAAGAUACACUUUAUAUUUAAAGUUCUAAAAUUGUCACUGUGACAUCCUGUAACUAUUAUUUACUUUGAAAUACUUUCUACAAUUCACUAAUUUAUUGAAUCAAAAUUUUAAAUAAAUAUCUUUUCAAAUUAAAAUAUUAAAUUGUAAAGCAAUAAUGACUCAUAUUUUUAGAUUCGUGAAAUACACAAUAGCUUUUAUAAUAACUAAUCAAUUAUUUUUUUUCUUUGUCAUUAUUUAAUUAUUUCUUAUAUAUUAAUUUAUAAAUUAUUUUACACUCAUUUGUCUUCAUAAUUUAAAUUAAAUAAAAAUUACAUUUAUCAUAAAUUGUUAUGAAAUUUUCAUAUUUUUUUAAAAAUAAAAUAUAAUAUAUCUUGAAAUAAUAAAUAUUUUGAAAUAAAAAUAAUUCAAGAUUAAUAUCUUGGUAUAUAUUUUUUUACUUUUCUCUUUGAGAAUUUUCUCUUAAUUAAUUAAAAAAUUAAUUAUAUUAUCUUAUAAUUUCUCAUUAAUUAUUGCUUUACUUUUUGAUGUCUAAUAGCAUUAGAAUCUAUACAUUUCACUUUUUAGUUACAGUCGUAACUUUAAUACUUCUUUUCAUCUUUAAUUGUUUUCUAUAUUAACAAAUACAAGAUAAAUCUAAAUACCAAAAAAUAAUUUUUCGACGAAAAACUAAUUUUUAAUAUUUGAAUCUUCUUCAACACAUAAAUAACAAUUCAAGAAGUUGGAAAAUAUUUUUCUAAUAAAAAACUAAUUUUUGAUAUGUUGAGUCGUUUUUAACAGGUAUAAAAUAGUUAAAGAAAAAAAUUAAAAUCACUUAUAAAAAAUCAACCAAAUAUUGACUAAAUAAUAAUCAAACAUCCACCAAAUAUCAAUAAACUCAUUCAAUUAUAAAAAGAAAAAUCUGAAAUAAAAAAAUAAAAAAUUAUAUCGGAAUCAUAGAUAUUACCUAAAAAAUUAGAAGACUUUAAAACAUAUUAAUAGAAAAAUCAAAAUAAUAUUUUGUUUACAUAAAGUUUGGAAAAACUUAAAACUCUUUCGAGGAGCAAAAUUCUACAAAUUUUAAAAAGAUUUCAAAAUUAAAAUAUUUAUUUCUUUUAAAAUAAAAAGAUACCUAAAAUGAGAGAUAGAAAAAAAAAAGUUAAGACUCAAAAAGAAUUCAAAAAAAUUAAAGAGAAUUCUUCAAAAUUCAGAAAAUUAUAACAUCAAAAAAAUAUGAAUAGAUAUUGAUGGACAAAUAUACAAACUUUGAAAUAAAAGCUUUAAAAUGAAAGCUUUAAACAAAGAAAUAUAACUUACAAGAGUAGUUGAAUACAAGAGGAAGGUAGUUUCUCACUAUCACUCUCUGUUCUCACUAUAUCUCCAAGGACUUGAAAAAUACAAGAGUUUCUUGUGAUUUUUCAGUCUGCAUUCUUCUUUGGUGGCUCCUCUAUUUGUUGAGGUCUUCAGCCUUCAGGCUCAAUAAUUCUUGCUUUGGAUGCUCUUCAUAAUGGAGUGAGGGGCUCCACGUCUUUUGUAGGAAUUGUCUGCCACGCUUCAUCAUUGAGGAAUUUUUUUCUUUUUAAAAAAGUAACGGUGCAGAGUCUUUUGUCUAUUUUCUUUUCUUUUAAAAAGACUUUUUUUUUUUUUGGCAUUACCCAUUGCAGAAUUUUCUUGGGCUGCCAUUUCUGGUUUUCAACCCAAAGGCUUUACAAAGAUAUCAUUUGAUGGGCUUAAAUAUCCCAAAACAGUCAUCUCCAUUUGAGUCACCAUCUAGAUCAAUUGUUGCUGAGCUGGUGCUAGAAGAGGAAGAUGAAGCUUUAGAUUUUCCUUUUGAAGAGGCGGUCUAUGACAACUGUUUGAUCAAUUAUAAAAAAUCUUCUUCUGUUUGAGCCGCUGCUAGCUUUACAAUAAUGAAAGACUUUCGUGCCAGGAAAGUGGUAUGUUCUUUCGGAGGUGGCAAGAAACUAUUUUUCAAAAGAAAACUAUGUACCAUCUUUAGAGAUAAUUUUUCUUGGUGGUUGAAUUUAUCCCACCAUUUAACAUUAAAUCUUCGGGCAAUGAUGAUUUCUCCAUCUGCUGCUUGGUUGAAAUGGAAAUACCAUAUGCAUACCCACGGGAGGAAGAAGUUUGAACAAAAUAGAAGUAAGGGAGGAAAACGUCUUUCUAUUUUGUUGGAUUUAUAGUGAGCUUUGAAUAGAUUAAAUAAAGGGAGAACUUUUGAAAUUAUGGUUUCUGGAACGUUGCCAUAAUAAUUCCACCAUUGUUUUAAACCAACAUGGAUUUUUGAAGUUUGGAUUAUGCUUGUGUCGAAGUAGAAAAGCCAAGAAUGGCUUUGUCCUUCGUUUUGUAAAAGAAAGGUAUUAAACCAGGCUUGUUGGUAAUCCCAAUAGUUGAAAGUUGUAUUUAGGCUUGAAGGGUAGGUGAUUUGGAGGGAGGUUGGAAAAGAUCUUGGCGAAUGUAAAUCCAUUCCCCAAUCUAAAGGGUGAAGGAUUCUUUGGAUGGCGCAUGUGGAAUAUGCUGGGUCUUUGUGGUUUUUAUGCUUUUUAAAGUGUUUGAAUUUUGCAGAACCAGUUACCUAAAAGAUAGACUGGUAGUAAGAUUGGAGUUUUGAUUUAUUCCAGAGUUUAAAGUACCAUCCUGGAGGAAAAACUUUCGAAACUAGUUUUGAAGGGCUUUCUGUACAAAAUCCUUCCUCAAUAGUUAAAAUGCUUUGAAAGUUUUACUUUUCUACAUAUUCAUUGGUUUUGAAAAGUUUUGUUUAAGACAAAACUAUUUCUUGUGAGUUAGGCUUUGAAAUACUUUGAGAGCUCUGAGAUAGAUUUUGAGGAAAAAUUACUAUCUCAGGUUUUGGAAAAGGGAUAGAGAGUAUACCUUUACCUUUGUUUGAAGAGGAGGAUGACUUUGGAGAAAUUUCUGAUUGGACUUCAGCCCUUGGUACUUGCUUUGAAUAUUCUUCGACCAUCUUUAAAAACUUGGAAGUUUGCUGAGCAAGCCACUCCUAAAUUUGGAAUUGCUUUUGGGUCGGGUCUUCUUUGCUUUUGUCUAUUUCUUCCUGGAUGAUCUCAGUCCAGGUUCUGAUAGGCUUUGAAGAGGAGGGUAAAAUCUCUUUUUUCAGGCUUUGAACAACUUUUGUAUUUGCUGUUGGAUUUUCCUCUUUGUCUUUUGCUCUCGAUUUUCUUGGCAUUGUCACUCCUGUUUUUGAAGGAACUCUCUGGUUAAAAAGUCUGGAAUUGAAUUCGAAUAUCCUCUUAUGUAUUCGAUUUCAAAAUAAAAAAUGGAAAGAAUGGCUUGCUAUCUGGCAAAAAUUUGUUUUGAAGCUAUAUUUUGAACAUCUUUUUGCAAUACUUCUUUCGCAGAUUUACAAUCAAUCCUUAAAUGAGAUUUUUUAUUUAAAAGGUCACUUUGAAAUUUUGAAAUGCAUAAUACUAUCGAAAAAAUUUCUUUUUUGAUAGUUGAAUAAUUCUUUUGUGUAUCAUUUCAGUGUGCAGAAGUAAACUGGACGAUGCAUUCUUUGUUGUUUUGAACUUGUUUGAGAAUCUCACCAUAACCUAAAUUUGAUGCAUCAGUUUCAACAAUU
rnacentral:lncRNA from 1 species